GAGAGAAUGAGCAUGAAUGUGGGUUAUGGUCACAGAUAUACUGUAGGAAUGUUUUAGAAGUAGUUUUUUGUGUGCUUGAGUAUAUAGUACGCUCUGAGUAGCUGUUUUUAAUUGCAGCAUGGUUUUGGUUUUGUAGGCGAGUUUUCUGUGAGUUCACUGUGAAAGGUCUUUCUGCUUGUUUACAGCCAGACUCGAGAGCAGCUCAUAUUCACAUUGGGCCAUGUUUCAUUUCCUAAUUUAUAUGCACGUUUUUUAAAAGAUAUUCACAAUUUAACCUUUAAAUUUGGUGCUGCAAAGCAAAUCCAAUUCCGAUUUACUUUUCAGAGGUUAAUUUGCUCUUUGUUUGAGAUAUAAAAUCAAGAAAUAUUUUAUGUUUUUUUUGUUGUUUUGUUAUGUUUCUUUUGUUGGCUGAUUUAAAGCUAAAAAGGAGGGCCAGGAUGGAGGACGCAUGGCUGGUUUUGAUUCCCAAAAAGUCCUUUUUGUCAGGAUGUUGCUAUUAAAAGCUUUCACAGCUAAACUUUAGUCAGUCCUUUACCUCAAUUGGAUUCAAUACACGGAAGAAACUAAGGCUAGACCGCAUCAUCACCUCGGGCUAGCCUGGGACCAGUGCCAAUAUCUUGCUGCUCAUAAGACUCCUUACUUUAUACCUCAUCUUCCAAUGCCUCGCUGUUCUGCCCGCUCUACUUUAGUUUUAAAAUCAAAGAUGGCGAACUCACACAGCUGCCACUGAAUGUUGUUUUCCUUUUCUUUUCAUCAUAGCCCUCAUCCAUUAUGCACUGUACAAGCCUUGAUAUGCAUCCCAUGCUUGUGUUGUUUCAGAGGCAGACAUGGCUUCUGUGUGUUUUUCCUUUCUUUUAAAACAAAUCACACCUGCAGAGAAUCUCUGAGUUUGAUGCAGGUUGUAUAUCAAACAUCUGCGUACGCACAAGUACAUAUCCAGCCUAGCAUGAAGGUUUUAAAAUGACUCCCCUGAAGACAUGUUUAAAUGUCUGUGAACCGAUCAAGCAAGCAAAAAGUCCUUUUCACUUCUCCUUUCGAUGCUGUAUGAGCUGGGAUCAAAGCAGGAAGAAGCUUUUUAUUAAAUGUGCGAAUCAGAUUUUAUGGAUGGUCUGAUUUGUUGUACUGUCUUUGAAUAAUGUUUUUAAGUUGGCAGAUUCCAAAUACCCGGCCUUGAGAUUUUUUUCCUGAGGCAUUAAGUAGAACGCUGUGAAUCACUCAAUACUGAACUGUAUUGCUAUACAGAAGCUGAAUGCACUAUACAGGAGAUCUAUUUUUCUGAAUGUAGAGUUGGUACUACCAUAUGAAUGCUGCUGGAUCAAAAACAAUAGACAAAAACAAAGAAAAAAUGCAAAUACAAAAAAAACAUUCACACCAACUUAGACAGAAAUAAAUGUAACGGCGUGCAGAAGGCGAGCAGAUACUGCAGUCUCAGUUCUGUUCCAAAGAAAGAGGAAGGUUCAAGAAAGAAGCUGAGAUCCCACAAGCAACAUAUUAACAGUAACACAGUAACAUAGUACUAACUGCAGCUGCAACUUUUUCCUUUUCCUGAAAAUGACUUGAAACACAUGCAGACUCAAAACACCAUUAAUAAAAUUGAUAAACUCAAUAAAAUGCUACACGCACACUUGUGUGCUGUACACAGAUUUGUACAUAUCGCUCUGGAAAGAGCAAAUCUGAAAGAUACAACGAAGAAGCGAAUCUUGUUUAUUUUAGGCAGUUUUAUGUGACGGGAUGAUCAAAAACAGCUGAAGCUACACAAAACGCUGAUAAGAUAUGGAAAGAAAAAAAAGUGCAUCUUUCAGUUCGAUUUCAUCUCCUGCAUUAAAAUGAUCACAAUCAACGUAUGGUGUCAUCUGUCCAUCUAAUCUUUCUGCAUGUGAUUUAUUUAGUUAUAUCCUGAAUGUACUUGUUUAACAUUGAAAUAAUAAUAACAAUAAUAAUUAUAAUGAAAAAAAUACAAUGCUAUUUUAAAGAAGUAUAUUUGAAAAAAAAGCUAAUUGUCUUAACUGGUACUGACCUAAUAUAAAACUGGGCUGUGCUUUUAUUGCUUGCCCUAUUAACAUGUUGUAAAAAAAAGACACUGUACUGGUAGUUCUGUUUGAUUCUUUCUUUCUCUCUCUUUCUGUCUCUCUCUCUUAUUUUUAUUUUUAUUUUUUAUUUUUUGCAUUGUAUUAAAUUUAUGGUUUCUUCCGCAGCGCAAUAUUCAAUAUCUCUCUGUCUCUUUAAAUCUAACUGGUAAAACUAGAACUACUGCAGAUUCAUUGUAAAAGGGAAACAGCCUGGUGAUCAUCAAUUAAAAUAUAUGAAAUCUAAAUGUGGUCCCUGUGUGUUUUUUUUAAUUCUUUUUCUUUUUUGAAAAUGUCACUAAAAUCUAACUGAAUUAUGAGAGACCACAUACAGUAUGUCAUCUGCUGUAUGUUUCUGUACACAUGUUUUAUGAUUUUUUGUUGUUGUUGUGAUUUUGUCUCUGUGCACCACUACAGUUUGUUCCAGCAAUUAAGCAAUUCAGCUGUAAAGCAAGGUCUUAUUAUCUGAUUAACUAUUUUAGAGACAUUUUUAUACACAGUCCCCCAUUUUCAGAGGCACAAAACUAAUUGCAUGAUUGACUGACAGCAGUUUUCUGACCAGGUGAGGCCCUGAUCAUUCUGUGAUGAAUUAAUCAGGUAAAAGAUCUGGAGUAGAGUUCAAGUGUUUAACGUGUAUUUGGUAUCAUGUCAGAGGCACUCUAAAUACAGUAUGAAAUUAUGAGGAGGCCAUCAUUUGGUUGAAAAAAACAACAACUUCAGGAUAUGGAGUCUGGUUCCUUCUUAAAAAGAAUAAAUGCGCUGCCCAGUUCAGCAAGACCAAAAGACCUGGAAG
ensembl:lncRNA